UAUUGAUUCUGGCUAUAAAUGGGCCUAAAUUUUUCAUAUUGAUCAUAAGUCCUUCUCUGUGCAGACUCAAGUUUGUUUUUGAUUCCUGGAAAUCAUAUUGUUGUUUUCUGACAACAGCCUCCCCUGGGCAUGGAUGACAUCACACAAGACUAUGUUUCUCCAGAUCUGUAACAGGUCACAAAGGCAACUGUGAGGGAAAGAAAGGGCAUGUGACCUCUCAAAGUGAAACUCAAGACCUAUGAGUAGAGUGGCUCUCAGAACGGCUGUUGGUCCUUGUUUCUACAUGAAGCUGAUACCCUCAUAGACAUGCCAAAGACUGGCAGCAUCAUAGCGGUCAGUGUCAAACCAGAGAAAGCCCUUGAGAUGUCAGCAGCUCCAGUCAGGUAGCACCCGGGGUACCAGACGAAAUGUGCCUGCCUCCUAUACCAUCUUAAAUGAAGCCAAAUCUGAACACCACAGUACGAGCCACGCUGGUAGAACUUCUGGUCCACACUGCAAUGCUACAGAUUAGACGGCGAACAUCCAUUCUUAGUCUGCACUAAAAUGUUCACAGAGCAUAUAAUCAAGUCUUUCAAAAACACAGACAUGAAGAGGCAGUCUCGUGUAAGCUUUAGAUGAGUGUUCCUCCAAUGCCAACUUGAAGUCACGAACAGUGCAAUCUACUCAUUCUAGGGCAUAAAACAUGUACUCCGCCAGCACAGAAAUACUUCCACAUGCCAGAAAUAAAGAACAGAUGUGCCGCAUGCCUACUGUGUGCCAGGUUCUGUGCUGAGCUCUCGACUACCUUCCAAAGAGAACCCCUAAUAUGGAUGAGAAAGAUGAGAAAGACAAAACACAGAGAAGCCAACUUGUCCAGAGUCCCACAGUUGAUAAGUAAAACGUAAAGGCUCCUACCCAACCAUGCUAUCCCAAAUCCCAACCUUGAAACUGAAAGUAGCUUUGUACCACUUCCUUAUCUCUUUAAGAAGAUAGAGAUUGUCUUUACUGUCAUGUUAAUGCACUACCAAUUGUAAACCAUUGGAAAGCUAUUUUGUGACUGAGAGGUUAAGGCCACCACAAGACCAUGGCCCACAGAAUCAACUAACCAGGGCUCACAGGGACUCACAAAGGCUGAUGACAAUGAGGGAGGGAGCCAGUAUGGAUCUGACCUAGGUCCUAUGCAUAUAUACUAUGGUUGUACAGUCUGCUGUUCACGUAGGCUUUCUAACAGUGGGAGCAGAGGCUGUGUGCCUAGUCUUAUUGUAAUGUGUUAUGGAAUGUUUGGUAUAUAUCCCUGGGAAGCCAGCUCUUUCCUGAAGGGAAGCAGAGAGUGGAUUUGGAAGAAGUGGGAGGAAGGGAAGAGGAACUAGGAGGAGUGG
rnacentral:sRNA from 1 species